AACUGGCUUCUGAAUCGGAAACUGCGGCUUAGGUUGUUGUGGAACUGGCUUCUGAAGCGGAAACUGCGGCUUAGGUUGUUGUGGAACUGGCUUCUGAAGCGGAAACUGCGGCUUAGGUUGUUGUGGAACUGGCUUCUGAAGCGGAAACUGCGGUGUAGGUUGUUGUGGAACUGGCUUCUGAAGCGGAAACUGCGGGUAAGGUUGUUGUGGAACUGGCUUCUGAAGCGGAAACUGCAGCUUAGGUUGUUG